UGAACGAGACAGGCGCUCGCCCCGAUUUAUCGGGGAGGAAAGUCCGGGCUCCACAGGGCAAGGCGCUCGCUAACGGCGAGGGUCCCGAGCGAUCGGGAUACGGAAAGCGCCACAGAAAAGAAAACGCCCCGGCAGUCUCCUCCAGGUAAGGUACCUGGAGGGAUAUGUAAUACAUUCCUCCGCGCACUUUACCUGGAGGAGGCAAUUCGGAGCAAAGCUGAAACGGUGGUGUAAGAGACCACCAGCGGUGUGGUGACACACCGGCUUGGCAAGCCCCGCCUGGAGCAAGGCCGUAUAGGGGAGGGAUGAAGCUGCCCGCUGACCUCCCGGGUUAAGGCCGCACGAGGGCCCGAGCAAUCGUGCCCCUAGAGAGAUGAGCGUCCGCGACAGAACCCGGCUUAUCGUCUCGUUCACUCU
rnacentral:RNase_P_RNA from 1 species